AGGUCACACUGCAGACAAGUGGCGGAGGAGGGAUUAGAGCCCAAGACCUCUGACUCCCGAGCCCGGGUUCUUUCCUAUCCCCAGCACUUGGCGAACAAAAUGCAUCACUGCGUGCCAGAAAGAGAAAACACACCAUUUUUCAUCUGCUGCAGAACUUUACGGGGGUGAAGCAAAAUAAAGAAGGGGAUCCCUUGGCUGA